rnacentral:misc_RNA from 1 species
GCUGAAGAACGCAGCGAAAUGCGAUAAGUAGUGUGAAUUGCAGAAUUCAGUGAAUCAUCGAAUCUUUGAACGCACAUUGCGCCCCUCGGUAUUCCGUGGGGCACGCCUGUUCGAGCGUCAUUUACACCCUCACGCGCAGCUUGGUGUUGGGCGUCUGUCCCGCUCUCCGUAGCGCGGACUCGCCUCAAAGUCAUUGGCGGCGGUCGUGCCGGCUCCUCGCGCAGCACAUUUGCGCUUCUCGGAGGCCCGGCGGAUCGGCAUCCAGCAAGCUACUUUUUAUGACUUGACCUCGGAUCAGGUGAGGAUACCCGCUGAACUUAAGCAUAUCAAUAAGCGGAGGA